UCCAGUCCGCAAGACGACGGCUUGUCAAA
rnacentral:sRNA from 1 species